UCCUCCUCUGUGGUUCUUCACUGUCCACACACACGAAGAUAUACCAUAAAAGCGAUCAGACAUCCACAUCGACAACUCAUUUCAGGUGAAAACUUUAAAUGGAAACCAGCAAGGUCAUCUCAACUGACAAAGCUACAGUUGUCAUCCAAGUAAAUCCACAGAUGACACAAGAUGCUGUUACGUGUGAUGAUGGACAGGAGGCCAGAAGAGCAUAUCAUAAUACGACUCUUGCAGAAUUUUUCACAGCACAACCAAAUGCUCUGGGGACUGUGCAAAUAAUGAUUGGAGUGGUGGUUUUCUUAUUUGGCAUCAUACGCAGCAUCAGUAACAUUGACGAUUACCGAGAUAUUUCUGUCAUUAGUGGCAUAACCUACUGGGGAUCCCUUGUUUACAUCACUGCUGGAUCUCUGUCUGUUGCUGCGCAGAAUAAACUUCACCUGUGUGUGGUAAAAGCCUCUCUUGUAAUGAAUGUGUUCAGUGCCAUGACUGCAGCGACCGCCAUUGUUCUGAUGUCCGUAGAGUUAAAACUCAUUUCCAAAGAACAUUGCCCCUCUUACAGUUAUGAUAAUUGUUUCCAUUUUAAGAAUACACAGAAAUAUAGUCUGGGGAUCACUGGAAUAUUGCUGGUGUUCUCCAUCCUUCAAUUAAUCAUCUCCAUCUGUAUCUCAGGAUUUGCCUGCAAAGCCACACGCAACGCCGACGCUACAGUGGUCAAUGUGGCACUAAACCAGGGAUACUGAGUCACAGUAAGAAGAUGCUACCAUCUAAAGGUUGCAGUUUGCAAGGAAUUAAUAUCUCAUAUUAUUGCUUCUGAUUACUCAAGCAUGUUUUUUUUUUUUUUUUUUUUCUUUUCUCUACACUGUAAAAAAAAUAAAGUUAAAAUAAACUUAAAAAAAUAAGGCAACUUAUUGCAUUCAGCUUUUUAAGUUAACUCAACUAAUUUGCCCCAGUUAAAAUCAACUUAAAUACUAUAGCUGGGACAAUACAUUGAAUCUUGAUUUGCGAUACGAAGAAUGUGGAGCUAUUCUGAUAUUUUUCAGUGUAUUGCGAUUCUCUCUCGAAUCGAUUCUGAGCUUAGUUUUUAAACAGCAGAUGGCACUGCUAUACGUGCUUUAGAAACACUCGUACACUGCCUGA